rnacentral:rRNA from 1 species
CGCCAUCAGUCGCACUAGUACACUGACGACAUGGUUCUACAGAACCAGGAUUAGAUACCCUGUUACUUAUAAUCAAAAUAUUCUGGAAUAGUAAUAAUAAUGAAAUUUAACGGAUUUGGCGGCAAGAUAGCCAUUCAGAGGAACCUGCCCUAUAAACGAUGAACCACGAAUUACUCUACUUUUUUGUUUUCAGUUUGUAUACCGCUGUUGUCAGUCAGUUCUUUAGAAAACUUUCUUUCAUGUAAAGUUCACGGACUUCAAGUAAAGGUGCAGCUUAUGAAAAAGUUAGAGGUGGGUUACAUUUACAAAGAUUAAUACGGAUGAAGUAAUUGAAAUAACUUUUGAAGGCGGAUUUGAUUGUAAAGUUUAAGUAAACUUGAUUAGAGCUCUAUCUUGU